rnacentral:rRNA from 1 species
UGGGGAAUAUUGCACAAUGGAGGGAACUCUGAUGCAGCGACGCCGCGUGAGUGAUGAAGGAAUUCGUUUCGUAAAACUCUGUUCUAUGGGAAGAAAAGGACUGUACCAUAGGAGAAAGCUCCGGCUAAAUACGUGCCAGCAGCCGCGGUAAUACGUAUGGAGCGAGCGUUGUCCGGAAUUAUUGGGCGUAAAGGGUGCGCAGGCGGCUUUACAAGUUGGAUGUGAAAUAUUGUGGCUCAACCACAAACGUGCAUCCAAAACUGCAAAGCUUGAGUUAAAGAGAGGUAAGUGGAAUGCCUGGUGUGGCGGUGGAAUGCGUAGAUAUCAGGAGGAAUACCGGUGGCGAAGGCGACUUACUGGACUUAAACUGACGCUCAGGCACGAAAGCGUGGGGAGCAAACAGG